UUGUUUUCCUGCUCUGCCACCUGCAUGCUCCCUUCACCUCCAAAAUCUCAAAUUGGGACUCCUGGUGCCAGGACCUGCCCCGUGCUGGAUGCCCUUUGCUUUUCAUAACCUCCACCAAGCCCCUGGUACCAGGAUUUUGUCACAAUUAGACUGGAGCUUGAAUACAUCAGUUUGGGUUGGGUUUUUUUUCCCCCUUUUACCUGAUAAUAAGCUUUUUUCAUCCAAGAUCAGGGGAAAAAAAAAAUAGGCAAGGAGGAGGGCUGACAUGCACAACCCAUAGAGAGCUUUGAGAGGAGCACGAACCCCAAAGCUGUAAUUACUGCCUGCGUUUUUUGGCCACGGACCGGCUGCUAAAUUGGUCGUAAGGCACGGAAACGGCAGUUACACCUUUCAGUGGGAAAAAAUGUGGCUUAGUGGAGGAACGUGCACGGGAAACCUCCCCAAAACUGCAGUCCCCGUGUAACAGCCCAGUAUUACAGGCUCUGCAUUCGGGAGUUUCAAACAGUCCUCCAGCCAGGUGACUGGGAAUGCUGAGCUCCGACUGACAAGACCUUUUACAUCAACAGAGUAAAUUGGGGAUUUUUCCCUUGAUCUGCCAGUUGUAUCAAAAACACCCUCCUGGAUGCAGGACACGAGCAAGCGAGCGAGAGGCAGGAGCGUGUGCUAUUUUGAGGUUCGAUAUAAAAUAGAUACCCUUGGCUUCAGCAGUUCUCCGUAGCCCGGCCCACAGGAGCUGCAGAGCCCUCCAGGAACUGGAAAAUCCAGAUUCGCAGCAUCUCCCAGGGAAAGACGAUUUCCUACGUGCCCCCCAGCGCGAGGGUCCUGCUGAAGGUUAAGCUCGUGAAUGCCUUUGGUUUUGCACCGAGUUAAUCUCCCCCC